rnacentral:rRNA from 1 species
UACGUAGGGUGCGAGCGUUAAUCGGAAUUACUGGGCGUAAAGCGUGCGCAGGCGGUUCGUUAAGUCAGCUGUGAAAGCCCCGGGCUCAACCUGGGAAUGGCGGUUGAAACUGGCGAACUUGAAUCUGGCAGAGGGGGGUGGAAUUCCACGUGUAGCAGUGAAAUGCGUAGAGAUGUGGAGGAACACCGAUGGUGAAGGCAGCCCCCUGGGCUGAGAUUGACGCUCAGGCACGAAAGCGUGGGGAGCAAACAGG